CGUUGACAGAAGCGACCACCGUCUUGCCAUCAAGCGACACCUCAAGUGAGGAGGAAACGGCGCCCUCUGACCUGCUGACCUCUGCUCAUGUUUGGGACUCGGUUCUGGGUACCGCUAAAGAACACCAGAAAGCUUUUGAUGAUGAAUUCCAAAACACUGUCAACUUUCAUUUACUGGAGCACUACAAAGCACCUCAGUUUCCAGCAAACUGCCCCAGCUCCAACUUUAGCAAGGAGGCUUGCCUGCACAGGCUGGCCCAAGGUCUGUCCACUUACAUAAUUCUUCUCAAGCACGUGGAGAAGGAAUAUCCCGGC